AUGGCACUGUGGAAAAGUGCCAUUGUGAUCAUAGUUUUAUAUAUCUGGGGUUGUAAUUCUCAAGACAAAGUUGAUCAGCAUACAAAGAUUCAAUCUGCUUUUGAAGGUGAUACUGUAACGAUCGACUGUACAUAUCAGACUGCUUAUGCAAACCCGACUCUCUUCCGGUACCAGCAGAAAGACAAUGGAAAUCCCAAGUACAUGUUAAAUAAAUAUUCUAAGUCUGGAAACAGUGAGGAAGAAUUCAAAGAGAGAUUUCAUGUGAAUCUCAACAAAACUGCAGUUCCUCUGACAAUCCAGGAUGUGCGUGUGUCUGACUCUGCUGUGUACUACUGUGCUCUGAGGCCCACUGUGACUGAAACACAUUCAACACUCAUACAAAAACUAUGA